rnacentral:rRNA from 1 species
ACUGCUCAGUAACACGUGGAUAACCUGCCCUUGGGACCGGCACAACUCCGGGAAACUGGAGAUAAUUCCGGAUAACGCACAUAUGCUGGAAUGCUUUAUGCGUAAAAUGGAUUCGUCUGCCCAAGGAUGGGUCUGCGGCCUAUCAGGUAGUAGUGGGUGUAAUGUACCUACUAGCCGACGACGGGUACGGGUUGUGAGAGCAAGAGCCCGGAGAUGGAUUCUGAGACAUGAAUCCAGGCCCUACGGGGCGCAGCAGGCGCGAAAACUUUACAAUGCGGGAAACCGUGAUAAGGGGACACCGAGUGCCAGCAUCAUAUGCUGGCUGUCCAGGUGUGUAAAAUACACCUGUCAGCAAGGGCCGGGCAAGACCGGUGCCAGCCGCCGCGGUAACACCGGCGGCCCGAGUGGUGAUCGUGAUUAUUGGGUCUAAAGGGUCCGUAGCCGGUUUGGUCAGUCCUCCGGGAAAUCUGACGGCUCAACCGUUAGGCUUUCGGGGGAUACUGCCAGACUUGGAACCGGAAGAGGUAAGAGGUACUACAGGGGUAGGAGUGAAAUCUUGUAAUCCCUGUGAGACCACCUGUGGCGAAGGCGUCUUACCAGAACGGGUUCGACGGUGAGGGACGAAAGCUGGGGGCACGAACUGGAUUAGAUACCCGGGUAGUCCCAGCCGUAACGAUGCUCGCUAGGUGUCAGGCAUGGCGCGACCGUGUCUGGUGCCGCAGGGAAGCCGUGAAGCGAGCCACCUGGGAAGUACGGCCGCAAGGCUGAAACUUAAAGGAAUUGGCGGGGGAG